UACGUAGGGGGCAAGCGUUGUCCGGAUUUAUUGGGCGUAAAGAGCGUGUAGGCGGCUAGGUAUGUCCGUUGUGAAAACUCGAGGCUCAACCUCGAGACGUCGAUGGAAACCAUCUGGCUAGAGUCCGGAAGAGGAGAGUGGAAUUCCUGGUGUAGCGGUGAAAUGCGCAGAUAUCAGGAAGAACACCCGUGGCGAAGGCGGCUCUCUGGUACGUGACUGACGCUGAGACGCGAAAGCGUGGGGAGCGAACAGG
rnacentral:rRNA from 1 species